rfam:Musa acuminata subsp. malaccensis Doubled-haploid Pahang (DH-Pahang) genomic chromosome, chr11
UCCUUAGUAGCUCAAUGGUAGAGCGGCCAACUAUUAAUUGAUUAGUUGUAGGUUUGAAUCCUACUUGGGGCU